UACGUAGGUGGCAAGCGUUGUCCGGAUUUACUGGGCGUAAAGAGCGCGCAGGCGGUCGGAUAAGUCGAAUGUGAAAGCCCCCGGCUCAACUGGGGAGGGUCAUUCGAUACUGUUCGACUCGAAGGCAGGAGAGGGAAGUGGAAUUCCCGGUGUAGUGGUGAAAUGCGUAGAUAUCAGGAGGAACACCGGUGGCGAAGGCGGGUCUCUGGGCCGAUACUGACGCUGAGGAGCGAAAGCGUGGGGAGCGAACAGG
rnacentral:rRNA from 1 species